rnacentral:rRNA from 1 species
UUAAGCGACUAAGCGUACACGGUGGAUGCCCUGGCAGUCAGAGGCGAUGAAGGACGUGCUAAUCUGCGAUAAGCGUCGGUAAGGUGAUAUGAACCGUUAUAACCGGCGAUUUCCGAAUGGGGAAACCCAGUGUGAUUCGUCACACUAUCAUUAACUGAAUCCAUAGGUUAAUGAGGCGAACCGGGGGAACUGAAACAUCUAAGUACCCCGAGGAAAAGAAAUCAACCGAGAUUCCCCCAGUAGCGGCGAGCGAACGGGGAGCAGCCCAGAGCCUGAAUCAGUGUGUGUGUUAGUGGAAGCGUCUGGAAAGGCGCGCGAUACAGGGUGACAGCCCCGUACACAAAAAUGCACAUACUGUGAGCUCGAUGAGUAGGGCGGGACACGUGGUAUCCUGUCUGAAUAUGGGGGGACCAUCCUCCAAGGCUAAAUACUCCUGACUGACCGAUAGUGAACCAGUACCGUGAGGGAAAGGCGAAAAGAACCCCGGCGAGGGGAGUGAAAAAGAACCUGAAACCGUGUACGUACAAGCAGUGGGAGCACAGAGCAAUCUGUGUGACUGCGUACCUUUUGUAUAAUGGGUCAGCGACUUAUAUUCUGUAGCAAGGUUAACCGAAUAGGGGAGCCGAAGGGAAACCGAGUCUUAACUGGGCGUUAAGUUGCAGGGUAUAGACCCGAAACCCGGUGAUCUAGCCAUGGGCAGGUUGAAGGUUGGGUAACACUAACUGGAGGACCGAACCGACUAAUGUUGAAAAAUUAGCGGAUGACUUGUGGCUGGGGGUGAAAGGCCAAUCAAACCGGGAGAUAGCUGGUUCUCCCCGAAAGCUAUUUAGGUAGCGCCUCGUGAAUUCAUCUCCGGGGGUAGAGCACUGUUUCGGCAAGGGGGUCAUCCCGACUUACCAACCCGAUGCAAACUGCGAAUACCGGAGAAUGUUAUCACGGGAGACACACGGCGGGUGCUAACGUCCGUCGUGAAGAGGGAAACAACCCAGACCGCCAGCUAAGGUCCCAAAGUCAUGGUUAAGUGGGAAACGAUGUGGGAAGGCCCAGACAGCCAGGAUGUUGGCUUAGAAGCAGCCAUCAUUUAAAGAAAGCGUAAUAGCUCACUGGUCGAGUCGGCCUGCGCGGAAGAUGUAACGGGGCUAAACCAUGCACCGAAGCUGCGGCAGCGACGCUGAUGCGUUGUUGGGUAGGGGAGCGUUCUGUAAGCCUGUGAAGGUGUGCUGUGAGGCAUGCUGGAGGUAUCAGAAGUGCGAAUGCUGACAUAAGUAACGAUAAAGCGGGUGAAAAGCCCGCUCGCCGGAAGACCAAGGGUUCCUGUCCAACGUUAAUCGGGGCAGGGUGAGUCGACCCCUAAGGCGAGGCCGAAAGGCGUAGUCGAUGGGAAACAGGUUAAUAUUCCUGUACUUGGUGUUACUGCGAAGGGGGGACGGAGAAGGCUAUGUUGGCCGGGCGACGGUUGUCCCGGUUUAAGCGUGUAGGCUGGUUUUCCAGGCAAAUCCGGAAAAUCAAGGCUGAGGCGUGAUGACGAGGCACUACGGUGCUGAAGCAACAAAUGCCCUGCUUCCAGGAAAAGCCUCUAAGCAUCAGGUAACAUCAAAUCGUACCCCAAACCGACACAGGUGGUCAGGUAGAGAAUACCAAGGCGCUUGAGAGAACUCGGGUGAAGGAACUAGGCAAAAUGGUGCCGUAACUUCGGGAGAAGGCACGCUGAUAUGUAGGUGAAGUCCCUCGCGGAUGGAGCUGAAAUCAGUCGAAGAUACCAGCUGGCUGCAACUGUUUAUUAAAAACACAGCACUGUGCAAACACGAAAGUGGACGUAUACGGUGUGACGCCUGCCCGGUGCCGGAAGGUUAAUUGAUGGGGUCAGCGCAAGCGAAGCUCUUGAUCGAAGCCCCGGUAAACGGCGGCCGUAACUAUAACGGUCCUAAGGUAGCGAAAUUCCUUGUCGGGUAAGUUCCGACCUGCACGAAUGGCGUAAUGAUGGCCAGGCUGUCUCCACCCGAGACUCAGUGAAAUUGAACUCGCUGUGAAGAUGCAGUGUACCCGCGGCAAGACGGAAAGACCCCGUGAACCUUUACUAUAGCUUGACACUGAACAUUGAGCCUUGAUGUGUAGGAUAGGUGGGAGGCUUUGAAGUGUGGACGCCAGUCUGCAUGGAGCCGACCUUGAAAUACCACCCUUUAAUGUUUGAUGUUCUAACGUUGACCCGUAAUCCGGGUUGCGGACAGUGUCUGGUGGGUAGUUUGACUGGGGCGGUCUCCUCCUAAAGAGUAACGGAGGAGCACGAAGGUUGGCUAAUCCUGGUCGGACAUCAGGAGGUUAGUGCAAUGGCAUAAGCCAGCUUGACUGCGAGCGUGACGGCGCGAGCAGGUGCGAAAGCAGGUCAUAGUGAUCCGGUGGUUCUGAAUGGAAGGGCCAUCGCUCAACGGAUAAAAGGUACUCCGGGGAUAACAGGCUGAUACCGCCCAAGAGUUCAUAUCGACGGCGGUGUUUGGCACCUCGAUGUCGGCUCAUCACAUCCUGGGGCUGAAGUAGGUCCCAAGGGUAUGGCUGUUCGCCAUUUAAAGUGGUACGCGAGCUGGGUUUAGAACGUCGUGAGACAGUUCGGUCCCUAUCUGCCGUGGGCGCUGGAGAACUGAGGGGGGCUGCUCCUAGUACGAGAGGACCGGAGUGGACGCAUCACUGGUGUUCGGGUUGUCAUGCCAAUGGCACUGCCCGGUAGCUAAAUGCGGAAGAGAUAAGUGCUGAAAGCAUCUAAGCACGAAACUUGCCCCGAGAUGAGUUCUCCCUGACCCUUUAAGGGUCCUGAAGGAACGUUGAAGACGACGACGUUGAUAGGCCGGGUGUGUAAGCGCAGCGAUGCGUUGAGCUAACCGGUACUAAUGAACCGUGAGGCUUAACCU